AUUGUUUGGGGGAUAACCCAUAUUAUUUGGCGCGCCUCCCAUGUAAUUUGGGGGUCCUCCCAUGUUGGGCUGCUGCUGCUGCACUCCUCUCAUAUUAGGUGGCGCACCUCCCAUGUAAUUUGGUGGUCCUCCCGGGUUGUUGGGCUGCUGCUGCAUCCCUCCCAUAUUAGGUGGCAUACCUCCCAUGUAAUUAGGUGGUCCUCCCAAGUUGGGCUGUUGCUGCAUUCCUCCCGGGUUGUUGGGCUGCUGCUGCAUUCCUCCCAUAUUAGGUGGCAUACCUCCCAUGUAAUUUGGAGGUCCUCCCACAUUGGGCUGUUGCUGCAUUCCUCCCGGGUUGUUGGGCGGCUGCUGCAUUCCUCCCAUAUUAGGCGGCAUACCUCCCGUGUAAUUUGGUGGUCCUCCCACAUUGGGCUGUUGCUGCAUUCCUCCCGGGUUGUUGGGUUGCUGCUGCAUUCCUCCCAUAUUAGGUGGAACACCCAUGUUUGGUGGGCUUCCCAUGUGACCAGCUGGACCACCCAUAUUGGCUCCAGAGUUCUGAUUAGACAUCUGCAUAUCUCUUCUUCUCUC
rnacentral:lncRNA from 1 species